UACGGAGGAUGCAAGCGUUAUCCGGAUUCAUUGGGUUUAAAGGGUGCGUAGGCGGCUUUUUAAGUCAGUGGUGAAAUCUUGCCGCUUAACGGUAAAAUUGCCAUUGAUACUGAUAAGCUUGAGUACAAUUGAGGUAAGCGGAAUGUGUAGUGUAGCGGUGAAAUGCUUAGAUAUUACACAGAACACCGAUUGCGAAGGCAGCUUACUAAACUGUUACUGACGCUGAUGCACGAAAGCGUGGGGAUCAAACAGG
rnacentral:rRNA from 1 species